rnacentral:tRNA from 1 species
UUAAAACUUUUUUUAGAA